rnacentral:rRNA from 1 species
AUUGAACGCUGGCGGCAGGCCUAACACAUGCAAGUCGAGCGGAUGAGGGAAGCUUGCUUCCUGAUUUAGCGGCGGACGGGUGAGUAAUGCCUAGGAAUCUGCCUAUUAGUGGGGGAUAACGUUCCGAAAGGAACGCUAAUACCGCAUACGCCCUACGGGAGAAAGUGGGGGAUCUUCGGACCUCACGCUAAUAGAUGAGCCUAGGUCGGAUUAGCUAGUUGGUGAGGUAACGGCUCACCAAGGCGACGAUCCGUAGCUGGUCUGAGAGGAUGAUAAGCCACACUGGAACUGAGAAACGGUCCAGAGUCCUACGGGAGGCAGGAGUGGGGAAUAUUGGACAAUGGGCGAAAGCCUGAGCCAGCCAUGCCGAGUGUGUGAAGAAGGUCUUCGGAUUGUAAAGCACUUUAAGUUGGGAGGAAGGGCUGUAAGCUAAUAUCUUGCAGCUUUGACGUUACCAACAGAAUAAGCACCGGCUAACUCUGUGCCAGCCGCCGCGGUAACAC